GUGCAGCAGGCGAGAAUCCUUCGCAAUGCAGGAAACUGCGACGAGGGAACUCCAAGUGCCUACGCUCAGCGUAGGCUGUUCUCAAGCCUAGAAAGCUUGAGGAGUAAGGGCUGGGUAAGACGGGUGCCAUCUGUGGUAGCAGUCAAUAGAUUCGAUUUGUUACUGCAAGGCAUAAGCCGCCGCGGUAAUACCCGCAGCCCAAGUGGUGGCCGCUUUUAUUGGGCCUAAAGCGUCCGUAGCCGGCCCGGUAAAUGCCUGGGGUAAAUCGUGGAGCCCAACUUCACGAAUUCCGGGUAGACUGCCGAG
rnacentral:rRNA from 1 species